rnacentral:rRNA from 1 species
AAAUUGAAGAGUUUGAUCAUGGCUCAGAUUGAACGCUGGCGGCAGGCCUAACACAUGCAAGUCGAACGGUAACAGGAAGCAGCUUGCUGCUUCGCUGACGAGUGGCGGACGGGUGAGUAAUGUCUGGGAAACUGCCUGAUGGAGGGGGAUA